rnacentral:rRNA from 1 species
CCUACGGGCGGCAGCAGUAGGGAAUAUUGCUCAAUGGGGGAAACCCUGAAGCAGCAACGCCGCGUGGGGGAUGAAGGUUUUCGGAUUGUAAACUCCUUUUGUUAGAGAAGAUAAUGACGGUAUCUGACUAAUAAGCACCGGCUAACUCCGUGCCAGCAGCCGCGGUAAUACGGAGGGUGCAAGCGUUACCCGGAUUCACUGGGCGUAAAGAGCGCGUAGGCGGGAGUGCAAGUCAGAUGUGAAAGGCUAGGGCUUAACCACAGAACUGCAUUGGAAACUGUAAGUCUAGAGUAUAGGAGAGGUAAGUGGAAUUCUUGGUGUAGGGGUAAAAUGCGUAGAGAUGAAGAGGAACACUCGUGGCGAAGGCGGCCUGCUAGAACAUAACUGACGCUGAGGCGCGAAAGCGUGGGGAGCAAACAGGAUUAGAUACCCCAGUAGUC